ACUCUGGUUCAGGUGAACAGUCACUGUCAUGUGACUACUCUAGACUAGGCUGUGAUGUAGAAUGAGGCCUAGUAGGCCGAGAGAACACUGAAGCCUGAACUUCAGAUUACUGAAUUCAGCCUCUCACAGGAGAUCACCACAGGUGGAGCUAAUUAACUAUUACCUUUCAGGUAACUCAGGAAAACUCAGUGCUGACAAGCUGUUUAACUCAGUGAGCAAAAGACAAAGGAUUCGGGACAGAUGGCAGGGCUUCCCUCGAUAUUUCUGGAACUCGUUACAUGGAUCAUCACCGAAUGGAAACCAACAACUGAAGCUAGAUAACCCUAUGUAUCUUAUAAGGACGUUUGAUAUGUUUCUAUACCACUAACUGUAAUUACACCAAUAUUUCAACUCUAAAGGAUAUCACACGAAUUCACUCCAUCGGAACUCUUUUGAGUUAAAGAACAAAUUUUAUUAAACUGGAUUCUUCAAUAACUGCCGAUGUUUACCUUUAAAUGAAGUUCCGUAGUGAUUUGACCUUGUGGCUUGGAGUGAGGAGACAACAGUACAAAACAUAUAUGGAGAAGCGCAGAGCAACAAAAAUGUUAGGGGUCUAUUCAUGAAGCAGUGAAAAGUGUGGAGAAGUGAGCCAGU